rnacentral:rRNA from 1 species
CCUGACCUCGGAUCAGACGUGAAUACCCGCUGAACUUAAGCAUAUCACUAAGCGGAGGAAAAGAAACUAACAAGGAUUCCCUCAGUAACGGCGAGUGAACAGGGAUGAGCCCAGCACCGAAGCCUGUGACCAGUUGGUUUCUAGGCAAUGUGGUGUUUAGGUCGUUCGACGGAAACACUGUCCCACCCUAAGUCCACUAUUGAGUACGGCGUUGACCUGUCCCAGAGAGGGUGAAAGGCCCGUGAGGGUGGGAUGCAGACUGGCCAGUGUUUCUCUAGACAGACCUUGGAGUCGGGUUGUUUGUGAAUGCAGCCCAAAGUGGGUGGUAAACUCCAUCCAAGGCUAAAUACUUGCACGAGUCCGAUAGCGAACAAGUACCGUGAGGGAAAGUUGAAAAGUACUUUGAAGAGAGAGUAAACAGUGCGUGAAACCGCUCAAAGGUAAACGGGUAGAGUUGAACUGCAAGCUCUGAGAAAUCAGCUAGUGAGUUUGGCAUGAUCUUGGUCAUGUGGGUUGGCUUCUGGAGCCCUCGGUUAACCGUGGGUCUGACCCUUCGGGGAGGAUGCGUUGAAGUGCUCAUCAUGCGCUGUGCGCUCCAGUUGCGUCGAACCUGCUCGCUAGUGCACGUUCUCAGAGUGUUCACCACGACCGACGCGGCCGUCUGUCUGCUGUGGUCGAACCCGGCUCGCUUAGUCCUUGUGGCUUCGCAGGUUGGGGAUGGCAGGUAGCUUGAUGGUGCGUAUCAGCAAUGGUGCGUGCUUUCCUGUGUAAUGAGCUGGCCACAGCAGUACUGUACGGUGUGUCGGAGACGGCGGCUUGGUAUGGUUGCGCGUCUGCCUAGUUCGGCAUAGCAGCCUCGGGUCUGGUUGUCAUGUUGCUUGUCAUGUUACAAGCCUGAUGAUGGCUCGGAGUUGUGUUGUCGGCGGUGGCGUGUGCUAUGCGUUAGAGGGCCCAUAGUCUGUGGUGUAGUGGUAGACGAUCUACCCGACCCGUCUUG